ACCUAGAGCAGUAAAGGUAGACGGAAUCACUUCCUGGAUCCAUGCCUCUCAUCUCAAGCCUGUGCCCUGUCCAGACUCUGGCUGGAAAUUGGAAAAGACUGGUAACCCUCUCAAAUUGCGUAUUUGCCAUGUGGAUAAGGGUAUGGACUCUCCCCUUGACCACCAGUAGUCCUAACCCUCAUCAACCCAUUCAGCAGCUAUGGCUAAUCACAAAUCCUACUAGACAAGAAGUAUGACCUAUCUCACAUACAGCCCCCUUAGGGACCUGAUGGCCAUCUCUCCACUCAGACAUUUGCCAGCUGGCUAUAGGUCUUUCCUAUUGGGAUAUCCCUGAUGAAGAGGAUCCCACUAAAAUUCCAUUAAAUCCCUUCCAUACCAUAGAUAAAAGAAACAAACAUUAUGGAUGUAGGGACACGCGAGCCAGAUGCAGGUUGGCUAACCUAGAUUACUAUGUUUGCCUGGCGGACUAUCAAAGCCACAAACAGUCACAGCUGUGUGGGGGAAAAACUGACUUCUUCUGUAAGUCAUAAGGAUGUGAACAUACAGGGGCCACCUGAUGGAACCCAAACCUCCGCUGGUUCUCAGACCAUUGCCCCCUUGCUGAAGUAACAGGUACUGAGGUACCCCUCCACCCAUUCAUUCCUCUCUUCUCCUGUCAGUGCCCACACUGGGUCCCACCAGGUCCUCUUACCAGGUAACCCAAAGCUCAAACCAGCUGAGAGCCCUCAGACCCCUAUCCAAGAUGUAAUGAAAAUGGCCUUUAAAAUUGCUUUGUCAUCACUGAAAACAGGUUACUAAGAAUUUAAAGUCCCUCACAGGCUUUUUGGGAUACUCACUCCAGUCUUCCCCUCUGCUCUACCUGUUCUACUACUCAAGUUUUUGUUGCUAGGAAAAUCCCAAACCCCUUUCCCAUUAUUCUUUUACAUCUCCUUCCUGAUGCUCAGAUCC
rnacentral:lncRNA from 1 species